AUUGAACGCUGGCGGAAUGCUUUACACAUGCAAGUCGAACGGCAGCACGGGGGCAGCCCUGGUGGCGAGUGGCGAACGGGUGAGUAAUACAUCGGAACUUGCCCGGUCGUGGGGGAUAACGUAGCGAAAUUUACUCUAAUACCGCAUACGAUCUUAGGUUGAAAGCUGGGGACCUUCUUUCCUCGCGCUAUCUGAUCUUCCGAUUUCCGAUUAGGUAGUUGGUGGGGUAAAGGCCUACCAAGCCGACGAUCUGUAGCUGGUCUGAGAGGAGGACCAGCCAAACGGGAAGGGAGACACGGACAAGAGUCCGACGGGAGGCAGCAGUGGGGAAUAUUGGAAAAUGGGCGAAAGCAUGAUCCAGCAAUUCCGCGUGCAGGACGAAGGAGUUAGGGUUGUAAACUGAUUUUGUAAGGAACGAAAAGGAUGUGGAUAAUACCUGGGGAUAAUGACGGUACCGUAAGAAUAAGCACCGGCUAACUACGUG
rnacentral:rRNA from 1 species